GACAGUAACACAGAGCUGUGACUUGACUUCCUGAUCAUGUGACUGACUUCAAUGAGGUCUUUGUGUUUGGGUCACUCCCAGCAUGCACUGGGGUUUCAGACCGAUGGAUAGAAGAGUCAUUAUUUGAAACUGUGUUUCCUCACUGUGAUCUCUGCUCAACGUUAUACACUGAACACACGUGUGUGUGUGUGGAACAACUUGUGGCUGUGACAUCACUUCCUGUGUGUUUAUGUCUCUGACAUCAUGGAGAUGGAAUUCCCAUGCCUCCUCCUGUGACCUGCUGCUCCUUCAGACCCACCACUGCGUCACCACAGAGAUCAGAGCAUGAUUUAUAUGGAUCCACAGGAGACCCUGACCCGGUCUGACCCGUGUGUCUGAGAGUCAGGCUGGUUGUGGUGUGUGUGUGUGUGUGUGUGUGUGUACUAGAACAGGUUCUGUUUCCUCAGCAGGAGUUUGUUUAAAGAGACGAGUCAGCAUCAUGUGAGAACAGCUGAUCACAGAGAGGACUCCUGAGCAUGUAGAGAUGUGUGUGU